AGUAUGCAGAUUUCACCCCAUUAAGUAGGGUUUGUAAAAAACACCAAACAACAAGCUCCACAUCAACACAGCUUGAAGUAAAGCUGACUCAUAAACAACAACCUCAUUUUUUCAGUAAUAUCAGAGUCACAGUGAGAAUUUUCCAGCCUCAUCACUUUCUCGUUGGGCUGCCAAAAAAUGCCUUCAUUGUAUUCCUUAGGAGCAUUACCUGUUUAAGCAACCAAGAACAAGCAACUGUGGCUUGAUGUGGAAAGUAGGUACCAUUAUGGUAUUGGAAAAAUUACUGCAAGACCUGAUGUUAAAGUUUAAACAAAUCGCAAAUGGAAAGAAGGGUUUUCACAGUGCUUUAAAUUACAGAGCCUUUUUAAUGCUUUCUAUUGGAAAACCUAUCCAUUGUGAUGACACAGAGGUGUUGGACCCUUGUAGAGGCCUUGAGCAGUCUGUUAAAACUACAACAGUGUCAUUAUCUAGGCUUAAGCUAAACAGAUCAAAUGUUCAAUUUAGGGCAAAUUUACAGUUCUUAUUGUAUAGAAUCUUCUAAAAAAAACAACUCAUAAAAUCAGUCACAUACUUAUGCAGCAAUGCCAACAGCCAGCAUCAAACAUCGGCGAGCAAAGCCAUGGGUUCUCAAGUGCACUGUCUUGAAGACAAAGUAGGUCUCUGAGGAUCCUUGCAAGCUCAUCUUAAGACACAGAAGCAGAUGUUGAAGUGGAAUCCAGCCUUCUAUAAAGAAAGCCAAACUGUUUCAUACCAAUUAAAAGCUUCUGAUUGUGAAUGA